GAAGCGAACCGGGAGAACUGAAACAUCUAAGUACCCCGAGGAAAAGAAAUCAACCGAGAUUCCGAAAGUAGCGGCGAGCGAAAUUGGAUUAGCCCUUAAGCUUUACAUGUGUUAGACGAACGGUCUGGAAAGUCCGACGAUACAGGGUGAUAGUCCCGUAGUUGACGAUGCAUGUUCAGUGAAAUCGAGUAGGGCGGGACACGUGUUAUCCUGUCUGAAUAUGGGGGGACCAUCCUCCAAGGCUAAAUACUCCUGACUGACCGAUAGUGAACCAGUACCGUGAGGGAAAGGCGAAAAGAACCCCUGUGAGGGGAGUGAAAUAGAACCUGAAACCGUGUACGUACAAGCAGUAGGAGCACCUUCGUGGUGUGACUGCGUACCUUUUGUAUAAUGGGUCAGCGACUUAUAUUCAGUGGCAAGGUUAACCAUCUAGGGGAGCCGUAGGGAAACCGAGUCUUAACUGGGCGCCAUAGUCUCUGGAUAUAGACCCGAAACCGAGUGAUCUAGCCAUGGGCAGGUUGAAGGUUGAGUAACAUCAACUGGAGGACCGAACCGACUAAUGUUGAAAAAUUAGCGGAUGACUUGUGGCUAGGGGUGAAAGGCCAAUCAAACUCGGAGAUAGCUGGUUCUCCCCGAAAGCUAUUUAGGUAGCGCCUCGGACGAAUACUACUGGGGGUAGAGCACUGUUAAGGCUAGGGGGUCAUCCCGACUUACCAACCCUUUGCAAACUCCGAAUACCAGUAAGUACUAUCCGGGAGACACACGGCGGGUGCUAACGUCCGUCGUGGAGAGGGAAACAACCCAGACCGCCAGCUAAGGUCCCAAAUUACAGCUAAGUGGGAAACGAUGUGGGAAGGCUUAGACAGCUAGGAUGUUGGCUUAGAAGCAGCCAUCAUUUAAAGAAAGCGUAAUAGCUCACUAGUCGAGUCGGCCUGCGCGGAAGAUGUAACGGGGCUAAGUUGUAAACCGAAGCUGCGGCAAUGUUCUUUGAACAUUGGGUAGGGGAGCGUUCUGUAAGCCGUUGAAGGUGUGUUGUAAAGCAUGCUGGAGGUAUCAGAAGUGCGAAUGCUGACAUGAGUAACGACAAGGGGGGUGAAAAACCUCCCCGCCGGAAGACCAAGGGUUCCUGUCCAACGUUAAUCGGGGCAGGGUAAGUCGACCCCUAAGGCGAGGCCGAAAGGCGUAGUCGAUGGGAAACGGG
rnacentral:rRNA from 1 species